AAAGGAAGAAAAAUAAAAAAUUGGGAAAAAUUAUCCACAAAAUUGCCAAAAAAGACAUCACAGAGCAAGAGGGUCUACUUUAUAUGAGAACAAGUCUGGAUUGAGCAGAGGUAACAAGACGCAGAGUUCAGUCUGUCUUUACCACUUAAUCUCCAUGUGAAUGCAGUGGGCUGUUGUUUCAAACACCAGAGCAAAUCCAUAAACGAGAACUUCACCUGUUUGACCUACACAGCUGAUUUUAACAUUGGCUCUUCGUGUACUGGGCAUAUUGCCCUGGAUGAACUGGAAAAUAUCCCAGUGGAGAAGAAGGUCAGAAGUCUUCUGGAGGUUCCUUUCAAUCUAAGAUUACCUUUUUUGUCCUUCAAGGUCAAAGUAAAUCACGUUGACCAAAUGACAAAAUAUGCAAUAACAAUGGUAUUUUCUAAUGGUAAACAUUUUCUAAUGGAAAGACUAUCCUGUACCUCAUCCAGGACCAUACUCAUAAAACUACCAUCACACUCCUGAAA